rnacentral:rRNA from 1 species
UACGAAGGUGGCUAGCGUUGUUCGGAUUUAUUGGGCGUAAAGGGUCCGCAGGCGGUUUGAUAAGUCAGGUGUGAAAUCCAACAGCUUAACUGUUGACACGCAUUUGAUACUGUCAGACUAGAGUAUGAGAGGGGUGAGAGGAAUUUCCAGUGUAGGGGUGAAAUCCGUAGAUAUUGGAAAGAACACCGGCCGCGAAGGCGUUUCACUGGCUCAUUACUGACGCUCAGGGACGAAAGCUAGGGGAGCAAACGGG